rnacentral:rRNA from 1 species
AACUAACGCUGGCGGCGUGCCUGACACAUGCAAGUCGUACGAGAAAGUUGGCUUCGGCCGAUGAGUACAGUGGCGCACGGGUGAGUAACGCGUGGAUAAUCUGCCCUUAAGUGUGGAAUAACGUACCGAAAGGUGCGCUAAUACCGCAUAAUGCCUGGCAACAUAAGUUGUCCGGCCAAAGAAGGCCUCUGCUUGCAAGCUUUCGCUAAAGGAUGAGUCCGCGUACCAUUAGCUAGUUGGUGGGGUAACGGCCUACCAAGGCGACGAUGGUUAGCUGGUCUGAGAGGAUGAUCAGCCACACUGGAACUGAGACACGGUCCAGACUCCUACGGGAGGCAGCAGUGAGGAAUAUUGCGCAAUGGGGGCAACCCUGACGCAGCAACGCCGCGUGAGUGAGGAAGGUUUUCGGACUGUAAAGCUCUGUCGAGCGGGAAGAAGUGUACCAUGGCUAAUAUCCAUGAUAUUUGACGGUACCGCU